AGAGUUUGAUCAUGGCUCAGGACGAACGCUGGCGGCGUGCCUAACACAUGCAAGUCACGGGGGCCUGUAGCAAUACAGGUAACCGGCGAACGGGUGCGUAACACGUGAGCAAUCUGCCGAUUUCUGGGGGAUAGCCGGUCCAACGACCGGGUAAUACCGCAUACGCUCAUUGGGGGACAUCCCCCGAUGAGGAAACCUCCGGGGGAAAUCGAGGAGCUCGCGGCCUAUCAGCUAGUUGGUGAGGUAACGGCUCACCAAGGCGACGACGGGUAGCUGGUCUGAGAGGAUGGCCAGCCACAUUGGGACUGCGACACGGCCCAGACUCCUACGGGAGGCAGCAGUGGGGAAUAUUGCGCAAUGGACGAAAGUCUGACGCAGCGACGCCGCGUGUGGGAUGAAGCUUUUCGGAGUGUAAACCACUGUUGCUCGGGACGAACCUCCCCUUUCGAGGGGACUGACGGUACCGAGUGAGGAAGCACCGGCUAACUCUGUGCCAGCAGCCGCGGUAAUACAGAAGGUGCAAGCGUUGUCCGGAAUCACUGGG
rnacentral:rRNA from 1 species